ACACAUGCAGUCGAGCGGUAACAGAUCCAGCUUGCUGGAUGCUGACGAGCGGCGGACGGGUGAGUAAUGCAUAGGAAUCUGCCCGAUAGUGGGGGAUAACCUGGGGAAACCCAGGCUAAUACCGCAUACGUCCUACGGGAGAAAGGGGGCUCCGGCUCCCGCUAUGGGAUGAGCCUAUGUCGGAUUAGCUAGUUGGUGAGGUAACGGCUCACCAAGGCCACGAUCCGUAGCUGGUCUGAGAGGAUGAUCAGCCACAUCGGGACUGAGACACGGCCCGAACUCCUACGGGAGGCAGCAGUGGGGAAUAUUGGACAAUGGGGGAAACCCUGAUCCAGCCAUGCCGCGUGUGUGAAGAAGGCCCUCGGGUUGUAAAGCACUUUCAGCGAGGAAGAACGCCUAGCGGUUAAUACCCGCUAGGAAAGACAUCACUCGCAGAAGAAGCACCGGCUAACUCCGUGCCAGCAGCCGCGGUAAUACGGAGGGUGCAAGCGUUAAUCGGAAUUACUGGGCGUAAAGCGCGCGUAGGUGGCUUGAUAAGCCGGUUGUGAAAGCCCCGGGCUCAACCUGGGAACGGCAUCCGGAACUGUCAAGCUAGAGUGCAGGAGAGGAAGGUAGAAUUCCCGGUGUAGCGGUGAAAUGCGUAGAGAUCGGGAGGAAUACCAGUGGCGAAGGCGGCCUUCUGGACUGACACUGACACUGAGGUGCGAAAGCGUGGGUAGCAAACAGGAUUAGAUACCCUGGUAGUCCACGCCGUAAACGAUGUCGACCAGCCGUUGGGUGCCUAGCGCACUUUGUGGCGA
rnacentral:rRNA from 1 species